UCGAGAGUUUGAUCCUGGCUCAGGAUGAACGCUAGCGGCAGGCUUAACACAUGCAAGUCGAGGGGUAUAGUUCUUCGGAGCUAGAGACCGGCGCACGGGUGCGUAACGCGUAUGCAAUCUACCUUUACAAAGGGAUAGCCCAGAGAAAUUUGGAUUAAUACCUCAUAGUAUGUGAGAAUCGCAUGGUUUUCACAUUAAAGUCACAACGGUAAAAGAUGAGCAUGCGUCCCAUUAGCUAGAUGGUAAGGUAACGGCUUACCAUGGCAACGAUGGGUAGGGGUCCUGAGAGGGAGAUCCCCCACACUGGUACUGAGACACGGACCAGACUCCUACGGGGAGGCAGCAGUGAGGAAUAUUGGACAAUGGGGCGCAAGCCUGAUCCCAGCCAUGCCGCGUGCAGGAUGACGGUCCUAUGGAUUGUAAACUGCUUUUGACAGGAAGAAACACUCCCUCGUGAGGAGCUUGACGGUACUGUAAGAAUAGGAUCGGCUAACUCCGUGCCAGCAGCCGC
rnacentral:rRNA from 1 species